rnacentral:sRNA from 1 species
GCUGGGCGUGGUAGUGCUCGCCUGUCAUCCCAGCGGCUCAGGAGGCUGAGGCAGGAGGAUUGUGAGUUCAAAGCCAGCCUCAC